CGGCUAACUACGUGCCAGCAGCCGCGGUAAUACGUAGGGCGCAAGCGUUGUCCGGAAUUAUUGGGCGUAAAGAGCUCGUAGGCGGUUUGUCGCGUCUGCUGUGAAAACUCGAGGCUCAACCUCGGGCUUGCAGUGGGUACGGGCAGACUAGAGUGCGGUAGGGGAGACUGGAAUUCCUGGUGUAGCGGUGGAAUGCGCAGAUAUCAGGAGGAACACCGAUGGCGAAGGCAGGUCUCUGGGCCGCAACUGACGCUGAGGAGCGAAAGCAUGGGGAGCGAACAGGAUUAGAUACCCUGGUAGUCCAUGCCGUAAACGUUGGGCACUAGGUGUGGGGCUCAUUCCACGAGUUCCGUGCCGCAGCAAACGCAUUAAGUGCCCCGCCUGGGGAGUACGGCCGCAAGGCUAAAACUCAAAGAAAUUGACGGGGGCCCGCACAAGCGGCGGAGCAUGCGGAUUAAUUCGAUGCAACGCGAAGAACCUUACCAAGGCUUGACAUACACCGGAAACUUCCAGAGAUGGUUGCCCCGCAAGGUCGGUGUACAGGUGGUGCAUGGUUGUCGUCAGCUCGUGUCGUGAGAUGUUGGGUUAAGUCCCGCAACGAGCGCAACCCUCGUCCUAUGUUGCCAGCACGUGAUGGUGGGGACUCAUAGGAGACUGCCGGGGUCAACUCGGAGGAAGGUGGGGAUGACGUCAAAUCAUCAUGCCCCUUAUGUCUUGGGCUUCACGCAUGCUACAAUGGCCGGUACAAAGGGCUGCGAUACCGCGAGGUGGAGCGAAUCCCAAAAAGCCGGUCUCAGUUCGGAUUGGGGUCUGCAACUCGACCCCAUGAAGUCGGAGUCGCUAGUAAUCGCAGAUCAGCAACGCUGCGGUGAAUACGUUCCCGGGCCUUGUACACACCGCCCGUCAAGUCACGAAAGUCGGUAACACCCGAAGCCGGUGGC
rnacentral:rRNA from 1 species